UACGAGGGGGGCAAGCGUUGUUCGGAAUUAUUGGGCGUAAAGGGCGCGUAGGCGGUGCGGUAAGUCACCUGUGAAAACUCUGGGCUCAACUCAGAGCCUGCAGGCGAAACUGCCGUGCUUGAGUGUGGGAGAGGUGCGUGGAAUUCCCAGUGUAGUGGUGAAAUACGUAGAGAUUGGGAAGAACACCAGUGGCGAAGGCGGCUAUCUGGACGGUUUCUGACGCUAAGACGCGAAAGCGUGGGGAGCAAACAGG
rnacentral:rRNA from 1 species